AGCAAUAUUUUCAAGAAACAACUUUUUAAAUUCUAAUUUAAUAGAAGUCAAGUUAUGGUCUGAGAGAUAACUUAAAAAUGGUAAGUUAUUUAGGAACAAGAUAAAAGGCAAAACACCAAACUUCAUACAAACUUAAAUGUUUGACAUUUAAAAAUUAAAGAGAUUUUUUUUAACGUGUAUUUGAGACAAAUAAGCCAACCUUGGUACAUAACCGCUGAAAACUAAAAAACCGUACCCUAAACCAACACAGGUGGAUAGGUCGAGUAGACUAAGGUGUAUGAGAUAAUUAUGUUGAAGGAACUCGGCAAAAUGACUCUGUAACUUCGGGAGAAAGAGUACCUUUUUAUUUAAGUGUUUAUCGACGAAAUAAUAA
rnacentral:rRNA from 1 species